UAAUCAGUAUUUAUAGACCCGAACCCUGGUGAUCUAACCAUGGCCAGGAUGAAGCUUGGGUAAAACCAAGUGGAGGUCCGAACCGACCGAUGUUGAAAAAUCGGCGGAUGAGCGGUGGUUAGGGGUGAAAUGCCAAUCGAACCAGGAGCUAGCUGGUUCUCCCCGAAAUGUGUUGAGGCGCAGCGGUAAUGAAAAAAUUGGGGGGUAAAGCACUGUUUCGGUGCGGGCUGGGAGACCGGUACCAAAUCGAGGCAAACUAAGAAUACCCAAGGAUCACAUUGCCAGUGAGACGGUGGGGGAUAAGCUUCAUCGUCAAGAGGGAAACAGCCCAGACCACCAGCUAAGGUCCCCAAAUCAUCACUAAGUGAAAAAGGAGGUGGGGUUGCAAAGACAACUAGGAGGUUUGCCUAGAAGCAGCCACCCUUGAAAGAGUGCGUAAUAGCUCACUAGUCAAGCGAUCCUGCGCCGAAAAUGAAAGGGGCUAAGUGAUGUACCGAAGCUGUGGGAUUAGAAAUAAUCGGUAGGGGAGCGUUCCGUAGUAGUGAGAAGCAGUAGCGGCAAGCAGCUGUGGACGAGACGGAAGUGAGAAUGUCGGCUUGAGUAGCGCAAACAUUGGUGAGAAUCCAAUGCCCCGAAACCCUAAGGGUUCCAGAGGCAGGUUCGUCCACUCUGGGUUAGUCGGGACCUAAGGCGAGGUCGAAAGGCGUAGUCGAUGGAGACCGGGUCAACAAUCCCGGACUACAAUAUGGGAGCAGAACUAGGGACGCAUGAAAGAUAGCCACACCCUGAAUGGAUUGGGAAGACCGUUACGACGGUCGAGUGGUGAAGGAAAGUGCCAAGAAAAGCUAGGGUUGUGAUGAACAUAUAGUACCCGUACCCGAAACCGACACAGGUAGGGAGGUUGAGAAUACCAAGGGGCGCGAGAUAACUCUCUCUAAGGAACUCGGCAAAAUGGCCCCGUAACUUAGGAAGAAGGGGUGCCUGCCGAAAGGCAGGUCGCAGUGAAGAGAUCCAGGCGACUGUUUACCAAAAACACAGGUCUCCGCCAACUCGAAAGAGGACGUAUGGGGGCUGACGCCUGCCCAGUGCCGGAAGGUUAAGGAAGUUGGUCAGUGGAAACAUGAAGCUGACGACCGAAGCCCCGGUGAACGGCGGCCGUAACUAUAACGGUCCUAAGGUAGCGAAAUUCCUUGUCGGGUAAGUUCCGACCCGCACGAAAGGCGUAACGAUCUGGAUGGUGUCUCAGAGAGAGACUCGGCGAAAUAGGAAUGUCUGUGAAGAUACGGACUACCUGCACCUGGACAGAAAGACCCUAUGAAGCUUUACUGUAGCCUGGAAUUGUGUUCGGGCUUGGCUUGCGCAGGAUAGGUGGGAAGCGAAGAACUUCUCCUUGAGGGGGGAAGGGAGCUAACGGUGAGAUACCACUCUGGCGAAGCUAGAAUUCUAACUAAUCACCGUAAGCCGGUGAGAGGAAAGUUUCAGGUGGGCAGUUUGACUGGGGCGGUCGCCUCCUAAAAGGUAACGGAGGCGCGCAAAGGUUCUCUCAGCACGCUUGGAAACCGUGCGACGAGUGUAAAGGCAAAAAGAGAGCUUGACUGCAAGACCAACAAGUCGAGCAGGGACGAAAGUCGGCCUUAGUGAUCCGACGGCGCAGCAUGGAAUGGCCGUCGCUCAACGGAUAAAAGUUACUCUAGGGAUAACAGGCUGAUCUCCCCCAAGAGUCCACAUCGACGGGGAGGUUUGGCACCUCGAUGUCGGCUCAUCGCAACCUGGGGCGGAAGUACGUCCCAAGGGUUGGGCUGUUCGCCCAUUAAAGCGGUACGUGAGCUGGGUUCAGAACGUCGUGAGACAGUUCGGUCCAUAUCCGGUGCAGGCGAAAGAACAUUGAGAGGAGUCCUCCUUAGUACGAGAGGACCGGGAGGAACGAACCGCUGGUGUACCAGUUAUUCCGCCAGGAGUAGACGCUGGGUAGCCAAGUUCGGAGAGGAUAACCGCUGAAAGCAUCUAAGUGGGAAGCCCACCUUAAGAUGAGUGUUCUCACUACGAGAGUAGGUAAGGUCACGGG
rnacentral:rRNA from 1 species